rnacentral:lncRNA from 1 species
AAUUGAUUAAAAGCUGAUUCUGAAACAGCUGGGGUCAGCCAUCCAGGUGUGGCGGUGUCCUGGCUGCUGCUCAUCAAACCCAGCCCCGCCAUACAAAAGGAUGCGCCUGGGUGGGAGCUCUGCUAGGAACCAAAAAUGUGUUGUAGUAAUUGGGAACCCACCAAUGGUGACAAAAGGCCCCUCUCAGCUCCAGAGCUCCUGCUGGCACUUGGGUGCUGACUGCUGUGAACGAGGCUGCACACCAGCGUGUGGUAUCUGACAUCUCUUGUUUGAUUGGUACCUGUGGGAAUGGUCAAAUGUUUGCAUCUUGUACACAGAGAAUGCAAAAUUAACUUCAUUCUGCUUUGUUUGGCAGAGUCACAUCAAACCACCUGCAAGUCACCUCCCUUGCCUUUCUGGACGAUCCACAGCAGAGCCUGGGAAGAAUUUCUGCCUGUGAUUCUCAGAGCCUUCAGACUCUGAAAAUACCACCGAUAUUCAGUUCAUCCUGAUGAGUAUACCAAACUGCUCCAUACGUUCCCCACCCAGACCAGCUUAAUGGGUGAGCCAUGAAAAUACUUGCUCCAGUCUGGGGAGCAGAAGAGAGGCGCGCUGCCAGCUCCAGUAACAGCCCAAGACGUUCCGUGUGCUGGAGGUGGUUCUUUUCAGCCCAGACACUUGAAGUCUAAUACCAUCUCUGUGGCUGCUGUUUCUUCAGUGCUUCUCAUUAACUGUGGCAUGACUCUAAAGAGGCAGUAACAUCUUUCCCCCUCCUCCACCCCAACAAUAUUGCCGACGCUGGAUUGUCAGUUAUGCUGAAUUAUACUGGAUCACUUGUGGUUAUUCAGUGAUGUAGACAAAUACCAAUUCAAGAUCAAGGGUGAACCCUGGCCACUAAACUUGUUUCACUUGUGACUCAUUCCAGACUUAAAACCUGGCUCUUGCUGACAUUUUAUUAACCCAAUUUGUCAUCCUCCUAACCCCCGUUAUCCAACCCAGGCAGAUUAUUUACUUUGAAAAGAUGUGUAGAUAGCUUCCAUGCGAAUCAUAAGUAGAUCCAGGUGCCAUAGCUAGAUUUCAGAGGGAGCUACAGUCAUGAGAUACGUGUGGUGGUAAAAUAACUUCUAUCCUAGAUGCUUCAAAACUCAGUGACAUUCUCCCUGUUUAGAUAUUGUCUACAAAGCAGCCUGGCACCAAUAUGCUAAAACGCCCGCCUAAGUACAUACCUUCAGGCCUGUGUGUGGUCCCAAAGAGAUCAGCAAAGGUAAAUUUAAGCAUGGACUUAAAGUUAAGCACAUGCUAAAAUAUAUUCUUGCUUUGGAGUCAGAAUCAGUGACUACCCCCUCCUAAGCAAUUCCCUUUGAAUCUUUCCAUUUAUCCCAAAAUAAAGCAUUCAAGUCAAGAAUUAGCUUACUGCCU